rnacentral:tRNA from 1 species
GGCUGGUUAGCUCAGUUGGUUAGAGCAUGGUGCUGAUAACACCAAGGUCACGGGUUCGAUCCCUGCUUGAUCCC